rnacentral:tRNA from 1 species
GGCUGGAGAGAUGGCUCAGCGGGUAAGAGCACCGACUGCUCUUCCAGAGGUCCUGAGUUCAAUUCCCAGCAGCCA